GCCGGUUUGAUCUACAAAAAAUGC
rnacentral:miRNA from 1 species